UGUGUUAGCAAGAUUUUGCAGAUUGCUCCCUUAACUUGUAAACUCUUCAGCCUCCAGGUGCUGUCCUGCCCUGCCCUCUUUUUGGGCAAAUAGGAGACUCUGGUGGCCACAUCAUAAAAUACUUCAUGCCAAUAUGAACUACUAGCAUUGCUAUUGCUGGUUACAGGAGUGACGCUGAGGACUGAAUGGGCAUUGAAACUGGAAUUGUACACUUGUUCUCAGAGAUGGAUCCCCCCAGAAUAUAGGGCUGGCCUGAUGGAGGCAGCUUAAACAAACACACGACCCAAGUGGAGCAGGAGUUAUAAACUGCCAUAUGUGAAUGAACAAAGGGGCCAUACUAAAGCCUUUUGUGGUAUUUGUUAAUGUUUUUCAUCUGAGCUUAAAAAGACCUAAUGACUUUGCGGUGAGCUGAUGCAUGUGGCUCGUGGCUUUGCAAAAUGAAGGAAAUUCUAAGCCAGUUAUAU